GGGUUGUGAGGUUAAGCGACUAAGCGUACACGGUGGAUGCCCUGGCAGUCAGAGGCGAUGAAGGACGUGCUAAUCUGCGAAAAGCGCCGGCGAGGUGAUAUGAACCCUUGACCCGGCGAUGUCCGAAUGGGGAAACCCAGUGUGUUCCGACACACUAUCGUUAACUGAAUACAUAGGUUAACGAGGCGAACCGGGGGAACUGAAACAUCUAAGUACCCCGAGGAAAAGAAAUCAACCGAGAUUCCCCCAGUAGCGGCGAGCGAACGGGGAGCAGCCCGGAGUCUGAAUCAGCUUGUGUGUUAGUGGAACGGUCUGGAAAGUCCGACGGUACAGGGUGAUAGUCCCGUACACGAAAAUGCACAUGCUGUGAACUCGAAGAGUAGGGCGGGACACGUGGUAUCCUGUCUGAAUAUGGGGGGACCAUCCUCCAAGGCUAAAUACUCCUGACUGACCGAUAGUGAACCAGUACCGUGAGGGAAAGGCGAAAAGAACCCCGGCGAGGGGAGUGAAAAAGAACCUGAAACCGUGUACGUACAAGCAGUGGGAGCACCUUCGGGUGUGACUGCGUACCUUUUGUAUAAUGGGUCAGCGACUUAUAUUCUGUAGCAAGGUUAACCGUAUAGGGGAGCCGAAGGGAAACCGAGUCUUAACUGGGCGUUAAGUUGCAGGGUAUAGACCCGAAACCCGGUGAUCUAGCCAUGGGCAGGUUGAAGGUUGGGUAACACUAACUGGAGGACCGAACCGACUAAUGUUGAAAAAUUAGCGGAUGACCUGUGGCUGGGGGUGAAAGGCCAAUCAAACCGGGAGAUAGCUGGUUCUCCCCGAAAGCUAUUUAGGUAGCGCCUCGUGAACUCAUCUUCGGGGGUAGAGCACUGUUUCGGCUAGGGGGCCAUCCCGGCUUACCAACCCGAUGCAAACUACGAAUACCGAAGAAUGUUAUCACGGGAGACACACGGCGGGUGCUAACGUCCGUCGUGAAGAGGGAAACAACCCAGACCGCCAGCUAAGGUCCCAAAGUCAUGGUUAAGUGGGAAACGAUGUGGGAAGGCACAGACAGCCAGGAUGUUGGCUUAGAAGCAGCCAUCAUUUAAAGAAAGCGUAAUAGCUCACUGGUCGAGUCGGCCUGCGCGGAAGAUGUAACGGGGCUAAACCAUGCACCGAAGCUGCGGCAGCGACGCUUAUGCGUUGUUGGGUAGGGGAGCGUUCUGUAAGCCGUUGAAGGUGUGCUGUGAGGCAUGCUGGAGGUAUCAGAAGUGCGAAUGCUGACAUAAGUAACGAUAAAGCGGGUGAAAAGCCCGCUCGCCGGAAGACCAAGGGUUCCUGUCCAACGUUAAUCGGGGCAGGGUGAGUCGACCCCUAAGGCGAGGCCGAAAGGCGUAGUCGAUGGGAAACAGGUUAAUAUUCCUGUACUUGGUGUUACUGCGAAGGGGGGACGGAGAAGGCUAUGUCAGCCGGGCGACGGUUGUCCCGGUUUAAGCAUGUAGGCGGAGGUUCCAGGUAAAUCCGGUACCUUGUUAACGCUGAGGUGUGAUGACGAGGCACUACGGUGCUGAAGUGAUAAAUGCCCUGCUUCCAGGAAAAGCCUCUAAGCAUCAGGUAACACGAAAUCGUACCCCAAACCGACACAGGUGGUCAGGUAGAGAAUACCAAGGCGCUUGAGAGAACUCGGGUGAAGGAACUAGGCAAAAUGGUGCCGUAACUUCGGGAGAAGGCACGCUGAUAUGUAGGUGAAGUCCCUGCGGACGGAGCUGAAAUCAGUCGAAGAUACCAGCUGGCUGCAACUGUUUAUUAAAAACACAGCACUGUGCAAACACGAAAGUGGACGUAUACGGUGUGACGCCUGCCCGGUGCCGGAAGGUUAAUUGAUGGGGUUAGCGGCAACGCGAAGCUCUUGAUCGAAGCCCCGGUAAACGGCGGCCGUAACUAUAACGGUCCUAAGGUAGCGAAAUUCCUUGUCGGGUAAGUUCCGACCUGCACGAAUGGCGUAAUGAUGGCCAGGCUGUCUCCACCCGAGACUCAGUGAAAUUGAACUCGCUGUGAAGAUGCAGUGUACCCGCGGCAAGACGGAAAGACCCCGUGAACCUUUACUAUAGCUUGACACUGAACACUGGUCCUUGAUGUGUAGGAUAGGUGGGAGGCUUUGAAGCGUGGACGCCAGUCUGCGUGGAGCCAUCCUUGAAAUACCACCCUUUAAUGGCUGGUGUUCUAACGUAGACCCGUAAUCCGGGUUGCGGACAGUGUCUGGUGGGUAGUUUGACUGGGGCGGUCUCCUCCCAAAGAGUAACGGAGGAGCACGAAGGUUGGCUAAUCCUGGUCGGACAUCAGGAGGUUAGUGCAAUGGCAUAAGCCAGCUUGACUGCGAGCGUGACGGCGCGAGCAGGUGCGAAAGCAGGUCAUAGUGAUCCGGUGGUUCUGAAUGGAAGGGCCAUCGCUCAACGGAUAAAAGGUACUCCGGGGAUAACAGGCUGAUACCGCCCAAGAGUUCAUAUCGACGGCGGUGUUUGGCACCUCGAUGUCGGCUCAUCACAUCCUGGGGCUGAAGUAGGUCCCAAGGGUAUGGCUGUUCGCCAUUUAAAGUGGUACGCGAGCUGGGUUUAGAACGUCGUGAGACAGUUCGGUCCCUAUCUGCCGUGGGCGCUGGAGAAUUGAGGGGGGCUGCUCCUAGUACGAGAGGACCGGAGUGGACGCAUCACUGGUGUUCGGGUUGUCAUGCCAAUGGCACUGCCCGGUAGCUAAAUGCGGAAGAGAUAAGUGCUGAAAGCAUCUAAGCACGAAACUUGCCCCGAGAUGAGUUCUCCCUGAGACCUUGAGUCUCCUGAAGGAACGUUGAAGACGACGACGUUGAUAGGUCGGGUGUGUAAGCGCAGCGAUGCGUUGAGCUAACCGAUACUAAUGAACCGUGAGGCUUAACCUUA
rnacentral:rRNA from 1 species